ANGNGGGGAUCUGCUCAUGAUAUAAAUAGCCGCAAAUCGUGCUAAGGUAGCAUAAUCAUUUGUCUUUUAAUUAAGGACUAGAACAAAAGAUUUAACAUUUUAAUAAAUAUUAUAGUUUAUAAAUUAAAAUUAUUUUUAAUGUAAAAAAACAUUAAUUAAUAAAAAAGACGAUAAGACCCUAUUGAACUUUACUUUAGUUAAACUGGGGCAGUUAAUUAAUUAUUAUUUUAAUAAUAUUUAUUUGAUAAAUGUCCUAAUACAAUUAAUUAUAUGAUUAAGUUACCAUAGGGAUAACAGUGUAAUAUUAUUUUAAAGAUCUUAUUUAAAAUAAUGAUUGCAACCUCGAUGUUGACUUAAUAACCUUAGUUACGCAAUAGUAAUUUCAGGAAGUCUGUUCGACCUUUAAACAAUUACAUGAUCUGAGUCAAAACCCGGAGA
rnacentral:rRNA from 1 species